rnacentral:rRNA from 1 species
CGCAGUGGCGUCGUGCUAUACAUGCAGUCGAACGCGUCUCCGUUAAUGAUUUUAGGUGCUUGCACCUGAAAGAUUUAACAUUGAGACGAGUGGCGAACUGGUGAGUAACACGUGGGUAACCUGCCCUUGAAGUAGGGGAUAACACUUGGAAACAGGUGCUAAUACCGUAUAACAACCAAAACCACCUGGUUUUGGUUUAAAAGACGGCUUCGGCUGUCACUUUAGGAUGGACCCGCGGCGUAUUAGCUUGUUGGUAAGGUAACGGCCUACCAAGGCGAUGAUACGUAGCCGACCUGAGAGGGUAAUCGGCCACAUUGGGACUGAGACACGGCCCAAACUCCUACGGGAGGCAGCAGUAGGGAAUCUUCCACAAUGGACGAAAGUCUGAUGGAGCAACGCCGCGUGAGUGAUGAAGGGUUUCGGCUCGUAAAACUCUGUUGUUGGAGAAGAACAGGUGUCAGAGUAACUGUUGACAUCUUGACGGUAUCCAACCAGAAAGCCACGGCUAACUACGUGCCAGCAGCCGCGGUAAUACGUAGGUGGCAAGCGUUGUCCGGAUUUAUUGGGCGUAAAGCGAGCGCAGGCGGUUUUUUAGGUCUGAUGUGAAAGCCUUCGGCUUAACCGGAGAAGUGCAUCGGAAACCGGGAGACUUGAGUGCAGAAGAGGACAGUGGAACUCCAUGUGUAGCGGUGAAAUGCGUAGAUAUAUGGAAGAACACCAGUGGCGAAGGCGGCUGUCUGGUCUGUAACUGACGCUGAGGCUCGAAAGCAUGGGUAGCGAACAGGAUUAGAUACCCUGGUAGUCCAUGCCGUAAACGAUGAGUGCUAAGUGUUGGAGGGUUUCCGCCCUUCAGUGCUGCAGCUAACGCAUUAAGCACUCCGCCUGGGGAGUACGACCGCAAGGUUGAAACUCAAAGGAAUUGACGGGGGCCCGCACAAGCGGUGGAGCAUGUGGUUUAAUUCGAUGCUACGCGAAGAACCUUACCAGGUCUUGACAUCUUCUGCCAACCUAAGAGAUUAGGCGUUCCCUUCGGGGACAGAAUGACAGGUGGUGCAUGAUGUCGUCAGCUCGUGUCGUGAGAUGUGGGUAGUCCCGCACGAGCGCACCCUUUUGUUAGUGCAGCAUCAGUGGGCCCUCUAGCAAGACUGCGUGAAAACGGAGAGGUGGGAUGACGUCAUCAUCAUGCCUUAUGACUGACUACACUGUCUCAAUUGAACGUUCACGGGUGCGGAACUGCGAAGUUCAGCAUAUCUCUCUUAAGGCCGUCAG